rnacentral:rRNA from 1 species
AUUGAACGCUGGCGGCAUGCCUUACACAUGCAAGUCGAACGGCAGCACGGGAGCAAUCCUGGUGGCGAGUGGCGAACGGGUGAGUAAUAUAUCGGAACGUGCCCAGUCGUGGGGAUAACGUAGCGAAAGCUACGCUAAUACCGCAUACGAUCUAUGGAUGAAAGCGGGGGAUCGCAAGACCUCGCGCGAUUGGAGCGGCCGAUAUCAGAUUAGGUAGUUGGUGAGGUAAAGGCUCACCAAGCCGACGAUCUGUAGCUGGUCUGAGAGGACGACCAGCCACACUGGGACUGAGACACGGCCCAGACUCCUACGGGAGGCAGCAGUGGGGAAUUUUUGGACAACGGNGGGCGACGAACGUCCGUAGUACCUACCGACG